ACAACAACAUUCGGACCGUCGGUCUACCGAGCAAUAUCACCCGCUCGGUGGAAGAUUUUCCUUUCGUCGUAAGCU
rnacentral:pre_miRNA from 1 species